CCCUUAGAUGUUCUGGGCCGCACGCGCGCUACACUGAUGAAUUCAACGAGCGCUAACCUGUGCAGAAAUGUUCGGGUAAUCUUGUGAAAUUUCAUCGUGAUGGGGAUUGAUUAUUGCAAUUAUUAAUCAUAAACGAGGAAUGCCUAGUAAGCGUGAGCCAUCAGCUCACGUUGAUUACGUCCCUGCCCUUUGUACACACCGCCCGUCGCUCCUACCGAUUGAAUGUGCUGGUGAACAAUUUGGACUGCUUUGAUUCGAUUAGAAUUUGAAGCGGAAAGUUUAGUGAACCUUAUCACUUAGAGGAAGGAGAAGUCGUAACA
rnacentral:rRNA from 1 species